UACGUAGGCAGCAAGCGUUGUUCGGAGUUACUGGGCGUAAAGGGUGCGUAGGCGGCUUUUUAAGUUUGGUGUGAAAUCUCCCGGCUCAACUGGGAGGGUGCCCCGAAUACUGAGAGGCUAGAGUGUGGGAGAGGAAAGUGGAAUUCCUGGUGUAGCGGUGAAAUGCGUAGAUAUCAGGAGGAACACCGGUGGUGUAAACGGCUUUCUGGACCAUAACUGACGCUGAGGCACGAAAGCGUGGGUAGCAAACAGG
rnacentral:rRNA from 1 species